AUGAACGCUAGCGGGAGGCCUAACCCCUGCCAGCCGAGCGGUAUUUGUUCUUCGGAACAGAGAGAGCGGCGCACGGGUGCGGAACACGUGUGCAACCUGCCUUUAUCUGGGGGAUAGCCUUUCGAAAGGAAGAUUAAUACCCCAUAAUAUAUUGAGUGGCAUCAUUUGAUAUUGAAAACUCCGGUGGAUAGAGAUGGGCACGCGCAAGAUUAGAUAGUUGGUGAGGUAACGGCUCACCAAGUCAAUGAUCUUUAGGGGGCCUGAGAGGGUGAUCCCCCACACUGGUACUGAGACACGGACCAGACUCCUACGGGAGGCAGCAGUGAGGAAUAUUGGACAAUGGGUUAGCGCCUGAUCCAGCCAUCCCGCGUGAAGGACGACGGCCCUAUGGGUUGUAAACUUCUUUUGUAUAGGGAUAAACCUACUCUCGUGAGAGUAGCUGAAGGUACUAUACGAAUAAGCACCGGCUAACUCCGUG
rnacentral:rRNA from 1 species